UUUCUUCAUCUCUCUUUAUACGACAAACCCUAAUUUUCAUAAUCACAAAAUUUGACCUUAUUUUUCUCUCCUCAUCCAUCAUAUCGUUCUGCUUCUUCUUCAAAAUGUUUCGGCAAUUUUGGUGUGAUGGUUUCUACUUUCAAAUGAAGCGGAUUUCGAUGGUUUAAUGGUGUUGGCUCAAGCUAAAAGGGGGGAGAUUCGCGGCGGUUUCAAAUCUGUGCUAUUUGAGAAACCCUAAUCCCAAUAUUUUUCUGUUUCAAAGCUGUGAUAUUUGAUUUGUGUGGGUGCGGUUUUUGGUUUCUGUUUGAAAGCUCAUAACAUAUUCACAUCGCUACCGAAGCAGAAGAACAACCAGAAUUUACGCUGAAUUUGCAAAGGUGUGUUUCGACGGUGAAGAAGAAACAUAUGAGUGGCGAAUGCACAUUAAGUCUUAUGAUCAUUGGUAAGCUACUAUACCUCACUCAUUCUCGCCCGGAUAUUGUUUUCUCUGUUUGUAGGUUAAAACAUGAUGCUGAAAUGGAAUUUGAUCUUGGUUUCAACAAGCACUUGAAGGCAAGGGAGGUUGCUGAAUUCUUGGUAUGCUUUUUUUGCCUCUGGCAUGCAUUGCUUGAUGUAUUAUAUUGAAUCUAAAGUUUUUGAUAUUAUGAAAGACUUGCAGCGAACGAAUUCUGUGACAGUUACUGUGAAUAAUCUCAAACGCGAAUAGCGAAAUUUAGCGGUUUGUUCAAUUCUGCUAUAGUUAUGUUAUAGCUGUUAUUUGACAGCACCAGUAAUCUCCGAUUGAACGUGAUUGAUUCAAAAACGCGUUGUUGAUGAAUGAUUGAAUUUAGUACAACUAAGAGGAUUAUACUAAAUAAAAUUGCAUGUGUUUUUCUCAGGAUGAAAUGAAGCAGCUUGCGAAGAGUGAGAGAAUGCUGGUUCAUGUGUCAUUGUUUUAUGCAGGGUAUCAUUGUUUUUGCAUUAGUAAUGGCGAUCUUGAUUUCGAGUUUUUGUAUCAGUAAUGGCG